rnacentral:rRNA from 1 species
UAUACAGGUGUUGCAUCGGCUGUCGUCAGCUCGUGUCGUGAGAUGUUCGGUUAAGUCCGCUAACGAGCGCAACCCUCGUCGUAUGUUAUAUGUGUCAUACGAGACUGCCGGUAAAAGCCGGAGGAAGGUGAGGAUGAUGUCAAGUCAGCAUGACCUUUAUAUCCAGGGCUACACACACGCUACAAUGGUCUGUACAAUGGGUAGCCAAGCCGCGAGGCGGAGCCAAUCCUGAAAGCAGGCCUCAGUUCAGAUUGCAGUCUGCAACUCGACUGCAUGAAGCCGGAGUUGCUAGUAACCGCAGGUCAGCAAUACUGCGGUGAAUACGUUCCCGGGUCUU